CAGUUAUAUUUUAUGAGGUGUGACAUCUGUGACACCCAUUCUUGGGAUUCUGAGCAAUCUGGAGCCUUGAGACCAAUCAGACCUUGGUGACCAGCACAUUGCCAACAUGCCUGGGGAAGACAACAAUAGUGUGCCACAGAAUGACAAGUCAGCAGUCAUUCAUGAAGUGUCUGACUUUGACUGGAGAGUAAAGGUUAUACUGGCUUCCAGCUCAGCUGGUAUGAUGUAUGAGCCC